rnacentral:rRNA from 1 species
GACGAACGCUGGCGGCGUGCUUAACACAUGCAAGUCGAACGGAAAGGCCCUGCUUGCAGGGUGCUCGAGUGGCGAACGGGUGAGUAACACGUGGGUGAUCUGCCCCUUACUUUGGGAUAAGCCUGGGAAACUGGGUCUAAUACUGGAUAGGACCAUGCUGUAGGUGGUGUGGUGGAAAGAUUAGUUUCGGUAGGGGAUGAGCUCGCGGCCUAUCAGCUUGUUGGUGGGGUAAUGACCUACCAAGGCGUCGACGGGUAGCCGGCCUGAGAGGGUGGGCGGCCACAUUGGGACUGCGAUGCGGCCCAGACUCCUACGGGAGGCAGCAGUGGGGAAUAUUGCGCAAUGGGCGCAAGCCUGAUGCAGCGACGCCGCGUGGGGGGUGACGGCCUUCGGGUUGUAAACUCCUUUCGGCCAUGACGAAGCCCUUGUGGUGACGGUAGUGGUAGAAGAAGCACCGGCUAACUACGUG